rnacentral:lncRNA from 1 species
CAAAAUAAUGUGCAAGCAAUAAAUGCUGGAGAGGGUGUGGAGAAAAGGGAAUGCUUCUAUACUGUUGGUGAGAAUGUAAACUGGUACACCUGCUAUGGAGACCAGUAUGGAGGUUCCUUAAAAAAUGAAAAAUAGAACUACUAUAUGAUCCAGUAAUCCCACUCCUGGGAUAUAUCUGGAGAAAACCAUAAUCUGAAAAGAUACUUGGACCUCAGUGUUCAUUGCAGCACUAUUUACAAUAGCCAGGACAUAGAAUCAAGCUAAGUGUCUAUCAACAGAGGAAUGGAUAAAGAAGAUGUGGUAUAUAUAUACAAUGGGACAUUACUCAGCCAAAACAAAGAACAAAAUAAUGUCAUUUGCACCAACAUAGAUGGACCUAGAGAUUGUCAUACUGAGUGAAGUCAGUCAGACAGAAAAGGACAAAUAGUAUAUGGUAUUGCUUAAAUGCAGACUCUAAAAAAAUGAUUCAAAUGAACUUAUCUGCAAAACAGAAAUAGUUACAGACGUAGAAAACAAUCUUACGGUUAUGGGGCAGGGAGGGAUAAACUGGGAGAUUGGGAAUGACAUAUACACACUACUAUAGAUAAAAUAGAAAACUAAUAAGGACCUACUGUAUAGCCCAGAAAACUCAACUCAAUACUAUGUAAUGAUCUAUAUGGGAAAAGAGUCUAUUAAAAAGAGUGGAUAUACGUGUAACUGAUUAACUGUGCUGUACAGAAGAAAGUAACACACAACAUUGUAAAUCAACUCUAUUCCAACAACAAUAAUAAUAAUAAAGAAGGUAAUUGCAUUUAAGCCUUAUUUUUAAAUGCAUAAGGACAACAGCUAACUAUUCCUAAUACUUUCAGGCAAUGAACGACACCAAUGAAGACACAAUCCUUGUUCCAAAGAAACAUAAUUAAAUUAGCCAUUUUUCACUGCUUCCUGGAGAAAAAUUAAAAGCAGGUCUACGGACAAGAAAGACUUGUUCAGACGCUGAGCAAGAUGGAAAAGUGUGAGAUUCAGAUUUUUCCCCAAAGGAGUUUACCAACUAGAUGGCAAGGCAAUUCCUCCUACACAAAAGAAUCGGAUAAAAGUUAUGGACACUGCAUGGUUCAGAGUUCAGCACUUUUAACAAAGACUGUAUGACUCUCAAAACAAGAUAUUUACUGCCUGGCUGGCCCUCACAUAAAAGAUCACCCAUCUCUCUCUAGACUUUUGGAGUCUUCUGCUUCCAGCUGGUAGGAGAGCAGACAUGAAG